CAAAAGUCACAAUCAGACAUGACUUAGCGACUAAACAGCAACAGCAAUCCACGUAUACAUGGCUCUGUUUCUGGACUUGGGCCUCAGCCAUCAUUGUUAUGCAAAGGCUUACAGAAAGUUUGAUCCACCAUGAGAUACCACAUAACAACUGCAUCGGACCAACUGAUCAAUUCUACAGCAAAGAUAUUGUGGCAGAAAUACCUUUAUAUGAUACUGUGUUACAACUGAAAGAAUACUUGGGUCUUGGAACCAAGGGCUACUCACAAUAUAGCAGAGAUCCAAAAGACCACUGGAGAAAGGGAGCAAGGAUACCAGAAGGUGGGAUCAUGUUGGAAGCUAAUUGCCACACUGUGUCUCAGAAACUACCUGAUACUUGGACUACAAAAACUUC
ensembl:lncRNA